UGUGAAUUGAUCAGUUACUCAACAAAUGUAACAGUUAUUUAUUAUGCACCUAUUAUUUGCCAGGUACUGUUUGAUGCUUGGCAUAUAAGAUCCUUGCUCUCUCUCAGGGAGUUUACACUUGUGGAGGGAGUGGGAAGACACAGACAAUAAAUAUGAGAGAAGGUUGCAAAUACUUAAGGAUUGUGAAUGCUGUGGGGUAGGGUAGAAUAGGUAUCUAAGAGCUAGAUGAGCACUACACAAAAUGUGGCCUGUGAUCAGUCUGAGAACUGUUCGCUUCUGGUCCUCUGUGAGAUAAGAACUGAAAUUGAGAGUUUAUAGAAAUUUUUACAUCAAUCUGAUAAUGUAAUUUUAUGUCAGUUGAGUCAAAACAAUUAAAACUCAUAUUUUAUAUGCCUUAUUUUUAAUUUCAUUUUUCAGGUAAUUCAUUGCCACCAUAUUUUACAAUAGCAUUGAUCUACAGUGGGUUGAAAAUAAAACACCAGUCUUUACUGUAUUCAUUUUAGC
rnacentral:lncRNA from 10 species